rnacentral:rRNA from 1 species
UACGUAGGGUGCAAGCGUUAAUCGGAAUUACUGGGCGUAAAGCGUGCGCAGGCGGUUGUGCAAGACAGAUGUGAAAUCCCCGGGCUCAACCUGGGAACUGCAUUUGUGACUGCACGGCUAGAGUCCGGAAGAGGAGAGUGGAAUUCCUGGUGUAGCGGUGAAAUGCGUAGAGAUGUGGAGGAACACCGAUGGCGAAGGCAGCCUCCUGGGCCAGCACUGACGCUCAUGCACGAAAGCGUGGGGAGCAAACAGG